GACGAACGCUGGCGGCGUGCCUAAUACAUGCAAGUAGAACGCUGAAGAGAGGAGCUUGCUCUUCUUGGAUGAGUUGCGAACGGGUGAGUAACGCGUAGGUAACCUGCCUGGUAGCGGGGGAUAACUAUUGGAAACGAUAGCUAAUACCGCAUAAAAUGGAUUAUCGCAUGAUAAUCCAUUGAAAGGUGCAAAUGCAUCACUACCAGAUGGACCUGCGUUGUAUUAGCUAGUUGGUGGGGUAACGGCUCACCAAGGCGACGAUACAUAGCCGACCUGAGAGGGUGAUCGGCCACACUGGGACUGAGACACGGCCCAGACUCCUACGGGAGGCAGCAGUAGGGAAUCUUCGGCAAUGGACGGAAGUCUGACCGAGCAACGCCGCGUGAGUGAAGAAGGUUUUCGGAUCGUAAAGCUCUGUUGUAAGAGAAGAACGAGUGUGAGAGUGGAAAGUUCACACUGUGACGGUAUCUUACCAGAAAGGGAGGGCUAACUACGUG
rnacentral:rRNA from 1 species